GCGCUCAGCUAAACCAGUUUCAAUUUACUAGAGCAUUAACGCCUUCACGGGGGUGUGGAUAACUGUGGUAAUUCUAGAGCUAAUACAAGUAUUCUUAUCCAAACCAUUUUUGGUUUGGAUAUUUUUAUUAGAAUUAAAAACUAAUCGUCCAUGCUUGUCUGGGCGUGUUUUUGGUGACUCUAGAUAAUGCCUCAGUUCGCACAGCCUUCGUGCAGGCGACACAUCUUUCAAAUGCCUGACUUAUCAACUGUCGAUGGUAGACUUAUUGUCUACCAUGGUAGUUACGGGUAACGGGGAAUCAGGGUUCGAUUCCGGAGAGGGAGCCUGAGAAACGGCUACCACAUCCAAGGAAGGCAGCAGGCACGCAAAUUACCCAUUUCCAGAACGGAGAGGUAGUGACAAAAAAUAACGAUACGGGACUCUAUUGAGGCCCCGUAAUCGGAAUGAGUACACUUUAAAUCCUUUAACCAGGAUCGAUUGGAGGGAAAGUCUGGUGCCAGCAGCCGCGGUAAUUCCAGCUCCAAUAGCGUAUAUUAAAGUUGUUGCAGUUAAAAAGCUCGUAGUUGGUUUUGCGUGCCACGCUGUCGGUUCGCCGCCUGUCGGUGAAACUGGCAUGCCGUGGUACGUCCUGCCGGUGGUAAACGGUUACCUGGCGUGUGGCUUAGAACUUUUGUUUUUUGUCGCUGCCUUUGUGUAAUCGUUUGCCGAUUUUAUCCUACCCGGUGCUCUUAAACGAGUGUCGAGGUAGGCCGGCAAAUUUACUUUGAACAAAUUAGAGUGCUUCAUGCAGGCUUGAAAUAUAGCCUGAAUAGUGGUGCAUGGAAUAAUAAAAUAGGACCUCGGUUCUAUUUUGUUGGUUUUCGGAACUCAAGGUAAUGAUCAAUGUGGACAAGCGGGGGCAUUCGUAUUGCGGCGUUAGAGGUGAAAUUCUUGGAUCGUCGCAAGACGCACAAGAGCGAAAGCAAUUGCCAAGUAUGUCUUAAUUGAUCAAGAACGAAAGUUAGAGGUUCGAAGGCGAUCAGAUACCGCCCUAGUUCUAACCAUAAACGAUGCCAGCCAGCGAUCCGACGUGUUCAUAUUAUGACACGUGCGGGCAGCUUCUUCCCGGGAAACCAAAGCUCUUGGGUUCCGGGGGAAGUAUGGUUGCAAAGCUGAAACUUAAAGGAAUUGACGGAAGGGCACCACCAGGAGUGGAGCCUGCGGCUUAAUUUGACUCAACACCGGGAAACCUCACCAGGUCAGGACAUUGUAAGGAUUGACAGAUUGAUAGCUCUUU
rnacentral:rRNA from 1 species